GAUGAACGCUGGCGGCGUGCCUAAUACAUGCAAGUCGUACGGAAAGGCCCUUCGGGGUACUCGAGUGGCGGACGGCUGGGUAACGCGUGGGAACGUGCCCCAAAGUGAGGGAUAACGCACCGAAAGGGGUGCUAAUACCGCAUAUGGUCUUCGGAUUAAAGCUUCGGCGCUUUGGGAGCGGCCCGCGUACGAUUAGAUAGUUGGUGAGGUAAUGGCUCACCAAGUCGACGAUCGUUAGCUGGUCUGAGAGGAUGAUCAGCCAGACUGGGACUGAGACACGGCCCAGACUCCUACGGGAGGCAGCAGUAAGGAAUCUUCCACAAUGGGGGCAACCCUGAUGGAGCAACGCCGCGUGCAGGAUGAAGGUCUUCGGAUCGUAAACUGCUUUUAUAAGUGAAGAAUAUGACGGUAACUUAUGAAUAAGGAUCGGCUAACUACGUGCCAGCCGCCGCGGUAA
rnacentral:rRNA from 1 species